rnacentral:rRNA from 1 species
AGAGUUUGAUCAUGGCUACAGAACGAACGCUGGCGGCAUGCCUAACACAUGCAAGUCGAACGAGACCUUCGGGUCUAGUGGCGCACGGGUGCGUAACGCGUGGGAAUCUGCCCUUUGCUUCGGAAUAACAGUUAGAAAUGACUGCUAAUACCGGAUGAUGUCUUCGGACCAAAGAUUUAUCGGCAAAGGAUGAGCCCGCGUAGGAUUAGGUAGUUGGUGGGGUAAAGGCCUACCAAGCCGACGAUCCUUAGCUGGUCUGAGAGGAUGAUCAGCCACACUGGGACUGAGACACGGCCCAGACUCCUACGGGAGGCAGCAGUGGGGAAUAUUGGACAAUGGGCGAAAGCCUGAUCCAGCAAUGCCGCGUGAGUGAUGAAGGCCUUCGGGUCGUAAAGCUCUUUUACCAGGGAUGAUAAUGACAGUACCUGGAGAAUAAGCUCCGGCUAACUCCGUG